AGACUUUGAUUCUGGCUCAGAACGAACGCUGGCGGCAGGCCUAACACAUGCAAGUCGAGCGCUCUCUUCGGAGGGAGCGGCGGACGGGUGAGUAACGCGUGGGAACGUGCCCCAAGGUACGGAACAACCGCUGGAAACGGCGGCUAAUACCGUAUGAUGUCUACGGACCAAAGAUUUAUCGCCUUGGGAUCGGCCCGCGUUGGAUUAGGUAGUUGGUGGGGUAAUGGCCUACCAAGCCGACGAUCCAUACCUGGUUUGAGAGGAUGAUCAGGCACACUGGGACUGAGACACGGCCCAGACUCCUACGGGAGGCAGCAGUGGGGAAUCAUAGACAAUGGGGGAAACCCUGAUCUUGCCAUGCCGCGUGAGCGAAGAAGGCCUUAGGGUUGUAAAGCUCUUUCACCGGUGACAUAAUGAC
rnacentral:rRNA from 1 species